AAACCGGAGGAAGGUGGGGAUGACGUCAAGUCCUCAUGGCCCUUAUGGGUAGGGCUUCACACGUCAUACAAUGGUCGGUACAGAGGGUCGCCAAACCGCGAGGUGGAGCCAAUCCUUUAAAACCGAUCGUAGUCCGGAUCGUAGUCUGCAACUCGACUACGUGAAGUCGGAAUCGCUAGUAAUCGCGGAUCAGAAUGUCGCGGUGAAUACGUUCCCGGGUCUUGUACACACCGCCCGUCACACCAUGGGAGCGGGUUUUACCAGAAGUAGCUAGCUUAACCUUCGGGAGGGCGGUUACCACGGUAGGAUUCGUGACUGGGGUGAAGUCGUAACAAGGUAGCCGUAUCGGAAGGUGCGGCUGGAUCACCUCCUUUCUAG
rnacentral:rRNA from 1 species